GGGUUUUCCUUUAAUUUCUCACCCGUCUGUAAUUACAUGCUGCUUCGCAUUGCAGGCAUAAGUAGAGCUCCCACCUGUGGUAAUAUUCCUCCUCAUACACACAAAAUACAAAUAUCCAGUGUCCUAUUAGGGACUUCACUGGGGCAGAUAUCAACAACCGUGACUUCACCCAAAGACGACAAUGCUGUGUAUCAUCACGUUUUAAACAGGAAGGUUGUGUGAUAGCUAAUCUGUUUCUCAAGAACAGACUUGUCAUUUUGAGAAGGAAGUUCUCACCAAUUACUUUGGAAAAAUGAACAAAAACAGAGACACCCAAAGUUCUUAAGUGUCUCGGGUGUUUAUUAAUUGCAAGUCAUUCCUGAAACCUGGGCAACAUCACGUUCUGGACAUUUCUUUGCUAACUGCAUCCUGAAAUCGCCCUUAUGAAAAGGAGAACAAACAAGAAUGAGUAUUGAGAAACACCCGAAGAAGAAGGAACUCAUGGCAAACCAGGAAGUACACCAGGAAGGAAGUGUUUUACUAAAAACACGCAGAUUGGCAUGUUGCCAAGAAACCGCAAACUGUUGCAAACCACCGACACUGGAGACUCCUUCCAUAAGCAUAACUUGUUAGAUCACGUCACGCGUCUGCCGAACAGGUCUUCUGACCAAUCAGAAGGGAGAAUUCAACAGUGCUGUGGUGUAAAAGAGAAACGGAUGCUGGUUUAUAACAAAGUCAGUUCAAGGAAUAUUGUCGUUUUGUUAAUCAGUAGGUGGAGGAAGAUUCUAUUACGCAAUUUAAGGAAUAUGCAAAGAAAGAUCAACAGCUUUGGCCUGGCUUUGCUUGUUGAGCUAAAACCUGCUGGAGAGGACGGUUGUUAAAAUGUACAUCUUGCCCGUAUCGUUGGUUCGGACAGACACAUGCUGGUGAAAAUAAAACUGUUUAGUAAACCUCUGUGUGUGUGUGUGUGUGUGUGUGUUCACUUAACAUUGAUGUAUAAACGUUCAGUUA
ensembl:lncRNA